GGGCGCGUAGCUCAGCGGUAGAGCACUGCCUUGACAUGGCAGGGGUCACAGGUUCAAACCCUGUCGCGCCCACCA
rnacentral:tRNA from 1 species